CCAGUGGCGGAAUGGCCAUAGACCUUGCAGGGAAAUUUCCUGGUGGGCUGGUGCCUUUCUCACCACCGCCAGAUGAGUAAAUAAGGACCUGAUGCUCUCAGCGGUAAUUAAUGAUAGGAGCAUCAGGUACCUAUUCACCUGGCCAGCGACCAAAGGUCAAUUCAACUUGUAUCACAGUCCUCGGGAAGUUAAUAAAGUUGCAGCAGGGAUGGCGGUAUUUUGUGCUUUACUGUGGUAUUUGGUUCUGCACUAUGGCGCACACACACAACUCUUUUGUCAUGCCUUCUGUCAAUUCGGACCAGUCUACAACAUGGUGCCACUUUCAGGGGGAGGGUUCUCCAGGGCCACUUUAUGUUCCCAGUCCGAUCCUGUAUUCCAUCCCUGGUUUUGGCUUACAAAUAUUAACCAAAUACUGACCAAUUGCGGACCAUGUAAAAGUGGCCUAAGGGGAAAGUUUACUUUAUUAAGAGGUGCACGUUAUGAGCGCUAGAUUUGCACUAUAAUUUACACCAGUUUUUUCAGAAACCAAGGGUGACCCUACCAUCACAUCGCCCCACCCACUUUGUAAAAAGUGUCCACAGCAUUGGAAUAAUCACAAAAAGCUGUAUUUAUUUGUGCAAAUAUGGCUUAUGCAAAUAUUUACAGCUUUUUAUGCCAUAAAACUCCAUUCCCCACUCCAUGAGUCCUGACAGAAUUUAAACACUUUCUCCAUAAGGCUAGUCCACACGGUGGAUUUUGCAAAGACAAAAAUCACCCAGCUGAAAACCUUUUCCGUUUAAGUGCCAUGGACCUGCUUGUGUUGUAGCCCCACUGAAUGAAGCCAAAAUGCAAGUGGACACGGGUCUCGGGUUCCAGCGGCACCUAGCGACAUGUCCUUCCUUGGUGCAGUUGCGACUAUAAACCACAUGCAGCGCAGCCUCCCAUUGGAAACAAUGAGACCGAUCCAGCGUGGCUUUAUAGUGCGGCUUCUGAGCUAAAAGCAUCCUGUGAACGGGGCCUAAAAGUGUAAAUUGAUUCAUAGAAAACUAUAUAUCACUGAGUUCAGCAUAUCUCCCUCUAUAAUAUAUUGCCAUUAGAUAGGGUAGCUUAGGAGACAUGGCAGGAAUCACAUAUGCAGAUUUUGUGCCAAACACAAGAGUGGGUAUAAAAAAAAAAAGAGAAGUAUAAUUUUUUUUUUUUUUUUUUUUACUUUUCCUUCUAUUUGGAUUUUGGUUAAAAAAUGGCAUCAAAACUGCAUGUGCUAUUCCAGCCUUAAAGGCUAUGGACACCUUAGGGGCAUCUUUUUUUCUUUAAAUGCAUGUAUUUUUUGCGGAAAAUGUUUGCGCAAUAGAAUUUUAAUAAAAGUGUUGCAGCAUUUUAUGUAUCGCAGUAGAAUUCUCAUUUGACGGCUUGGUCUCAAAUCCCUUUCUCCUCUCUCCCGAACAAUCAUCUAGGCGAUUUAUGACCAAAUCAGAGUUCCGUUUUCAUUUGGUCAUAAACCGACUUAGAUGUGUACAGUUAUAUAACUGCUAAUCUCUACUGGAAAUAUCAUCUAACUUAAAUAAUUAAUACUAAGUGUGCUAAGGGAAUUUCUAAGAAUGCAAUUUUUAUGCACGACAGUAUGGACUCACAGUACUGUUAGCAAUCAAGAAUGUUGAUCAUAUAGGUAGACUGUGUAGUAGGUGGGGGGGGGGGGGGGGGGGGAACAAGUUUUAGCUAGAGAGAGAUGCCGAGAAGCUCCUACACCUGCUACCUUGGGGCCCAGAUUUAAAGAGGUUCGCCACUUUAUAAGAAUUGUUUCCUAAAGGACUUUUAAGUUGUGGCACAUAAAUCUGUAAAUGUUCCUAAAUGUUAUGUGACAGCUUUCUUGGUUGUCCCUGGCUGCUUUUGCGCAGGAGCAGAACAGUAACUCUGCACCUCUCCUGUAUUUGCACAUGUACUGAAUGCAUUCAGUUACUGCUCAGCCCUGCACAGAAGUGGAUGCAGUGCGGGACGUCCAAGAAAGCCAUAAUGUGGUUAGAUCUGCAUGCUCUGUGGUUCUGGAAAUCCACAAAUGGGCAACAUGGGCUUUCAACUGAACAG